rnacentral:rRNA from 1 species
GUUGCGGUUAAAAAGCUCGUAGUUGGAUUUCUGUCGAGGGCAGCCGGUCCGCACUAUGUGCGCGCAUCUGGUUCGCUCUUGGCAUCCUCUUGGGGAACAUUCCUGUGCUUGAUUGCAUGGGGUGGAAUUCAAGACUUUUACUUUGAGGAAAUUAGAGUGUUCACGGCAAGCUAUCGCUUUGAAUACAUUAGCAUGGAAUAAUAAUAUAGGGCGUAAGUUCUAUUUUGUUGGUUUCUAGGACAUACGCAAUGAUUAAUAGGGACAAUUGGGGGCAUUCGUAUUAACGCGUCAGAGGUGGAAUUCUUAGAUUGCGUUACGACGAACUACUGCGAAAGCAUUUGCCAAGGAUGUUUUCAUUGAUCAAGAACGAAAGUAUGGGGAUCGAAGACGAUUAAAUACCGUCGUAGUCUAUACCAUAAACUAUGCCAAUUAGAGAUUGGAGGUCGUUCUUUUAUGACUCCUUCAGCACCUUAUGAGAAAUCAAAAUUUUUGGGUUCCGGGGGGAGUAUGGU